AUAAGUCACCCACCGUAUAGUCCUGUUGCCACCAUGUGACUUCUUUUUAUUUCCCCAUGAACAAACUAAAUUAAGAAGUCAAACAUUUUACGAACCUGAAGAGGCGAGAACACUUGGUUUAGAGAUACCUUAAUCAGAGUGGCAAAAGUAUUCCGCAUAACGUUUUUGUUGUUAAAAGUGUUGUUUAAAAAAAAUAUUUAACAUAUGCACGAUAAGAAGAAUUGUACUUAGUCGUGUACUGGCAAUAAAACUUUCAUUUCAUGAUUUUAAUUUUGUAUAGAUAUAUAAAUUCAUUUUUUUAAUUAGGAAUUAUAGACUUUUGUCGUGUAAAAAUCUUGUAUAAAUACUGCUUGUUCUCCAAGUUUAUUCACAAUUCAAUUGAACAUUAACUGUUAAAAUGGCGACCUUCAACAAGAUUUUCUUCGUUUGCGUUUUGGUACCCGCCCUAAUAAUGGCGAUCGUCCUACCAGCAGUUACAGCGGAAGAUUCAGCAGAACAUUCAGUUUUGGUGAAGAGGGGUGUCAAUCUUGGAAAAGUUGUGAAAGUAGUCAAACCAGUAGUAAAAGCACUACUACCUUUAGUGCUCUCUGGCUAAACCGAACCGGAACCGGAAUCUUUAUUUCAAGUACAUAUAUUAAAAUUAUCUUUGUCAAAUUCCUACAAUAAAUGUUGCGAGCAUAUACAAAA